ACCCCUGUGAGAAUGCCCCGCUACCUCCUGCUUGGAGACGAGGAGCCGGCAUCAGGCACAAUCUUUUUUAGCCCACGACGCCUUGCUAAGCCACACCCCCAAGGGAAUUCAGCAGUGAUAAAUAUUAAGCCAUGAGUGAAAACUUGACUUAGUUAGUGUUUAUAGGGCCGGUAAACCUCGUGCCAGCCACCGCGGUUAGACGAGAGACCCAAGUGGAUGGCCCUCGGCGUAAAGAGUGGUUAAGAUAAUUUUAAACUAAGGCCAAACGACUUUUUAGCUGUUAUACGCGCGAGAAGACAUGAAGCCCAACUACGAAAGUGGCCUUAAAUCCCUGACCCCACGAAAGCUAGGACACAAACUGGGAUUAGAUACCCCACUAUGCCUAGCCCUAAACAUUGAUAAUACCCUACCCAGUUUAUCCGCCCGGGAACUACGAGCGUCAGCUUAAAACCCAAAGGACUUGGCGGUGCUUUAGAUCCACCUAGAGGAGCCUGUUCUAGAACCGAUAAUCCCCGUUCAACCUCACCUUUUCUUGCUCAUUCC
rnacentral:rRNA from 1 species